rnacentral:rRNA from 1 species
AGCGUAGGUGCUUGAUAAGUCAGAUGUGAAAUCCCCGGGCUUAACCUGGGAACUGCAUCUGAAACUGUUAGGCUAGAGUAGGUGAGAGGGAAGUAGAAUUUCAGGUGUAGCGGUGAAAUGCGUAGAGAUCUGAAGGAAUACCGAUGGCGAAGGCAGCUUCCUGGCAUCAUACUGACACUGAGGCUCGAAAGCGUGGGUAGCAAACAGGAUUAGAUACCCUGGUAGUCCACGCCGUAAACGAUGUCUACUAGUCGUUGGGUCCCUUGAGGACUUAGUGACGCAGCUAACGCAAUAAGUAGACCGCCUGGGGAGUACGGCCGCAAGGUUAAAACUCAAAUGAAUUGACGGGGGCCCGCACAAGCGGUGGAGCAUGUGGUUUAAUUCGAUGCAACGCGAAGAACCUUACCUGGUCUUGACAUAUCUAGAAUCCUGCAGAGAUGCGGGAGUGCCUUCGGGAAUUAGAAUACAGGUGCUGCAUGGCUGUCGUCAGCUCGUGUCGUGAGAUGUUGGGUUAAGUCCCGCAACGAGCGCAACCCUUGUCCUUAGUUACCAGCGGGUUAAGCCGGGAACUCUAAGGAUACUGCCAGUGACAAACUGGAGGAAGGCGGGGACGACGUCAAGUCAUCAUGGCCCUUACGACCAGGGCUACACACGUGCUACAAUGGUAGGUACAGAGGGCAGCUACACAGCGAUGUGAUGCGAAUCUCAAAAAGCCUAUCGUAGUCCAGAUUGGAGUCUGCAACUCGACUCCAUGAAGUAGGAAUCGCUAGUAAUCGCGGAUCAGAAUGCCGCGGUGAAUACGUUCCUCGGGCCUUGUACACACCCCCCGUCACGCCAUGGGAGUUGCUUUACCGUUAGAUCGAUACUCAAACAGUCGUAACAAGGUACCCACUAGAGUGUGACGC